rnacentral:lncRNA from 1 species
AGGCAUAAGCCACCAUGCCUGGCCAGGAAUUCUUGCUUUUUAGGGUUUCGCUUAAGUUUUAGGUUAUAAGGAUAAGAAUUCUAGUUAACACAUAAUUCAGUAGGCAAAAUGUGCUGGAAAAGAUUAUGUUAGUAGUGAGAAAAAGAAUAACUUUGUAUAAUUCAGAAGUUAUCAAAUUCUAACUAACUUUUUGGAUUUUAGGCUUCUAGACAGUUUAAGCAUGUUGAAUAUACUUUCAUAAAUAGAAUUUGAGUUCUAUUUCUCUCUCUGCCUAAUUUCUUCAAAAUUUGUAAACUAUUUGUGAAUAUUCUUAAUUCAUGGCAAUAUGUUUGUCUGCAUACAGUUGAGCAGGGUCCCUAGGGCCACUCAGGGAGAAAGAACCCAGAAACCAGACAUGCUUGCAAAAGAAUAUUUCUUACCAGUUAGUCUCUGGUCUCUUUCGCUCUGUGCAAACUGGUUAAAUGAAAGGUAAAAGUCACCAUUUGUCCCUUCUGUAAAGUUUUAAAUUGGUUUAAUAAUAAUAUAAGAGCUUAAAUCAAAUAUUUUGUCAGAAAAGUGAAAAAUGUAAUGCUUUUUAUUUAGUUCAUGUGACUUGAGUAAUCUUUAGGAAAUAAACAGUUUUAAAGAUUAUUGGUAAAAUACAGUUGUCUUGAAAAUGUAAACAUGUGGUCUAAGUUAUGUUCAAAUAUUAGGUUUGCUAAAUGCUUUAAGGUCAUAAACUGCUUCUUUGGUGUUUGAAAUUUGUUUAACUUGCCUGCUUUCCAGCUAGGUAAGGCCUGAGGACAGCCCACUCGGGAUGGCCCUGGGGGCUUCUGAGAUGAAAGAGGCCUUCUUGGGAGGCUCCCAGCAUUCCCUGUGCUCUUGCCUCUUCUCCCCUCUGCCUGCCUGAAGAUCCCCCUGAGUCCCUGCCACCCCCUCUCCAUGGGGAGUUGGCCAUGCCCCUAACUAUGCUGGAAACAUUCUAAUCUUAUCAGAACACAACUUAGCAGGUUUUACAUUACAAUUAAGAUUGCUAGGAGUCACCAUUAACAUGUAAUUAAGAUUACUAGAAACAGUUUUAUAUGCAAGAUGUGUAAGAAUAGUAAAAUGUGUUUUUUUUUUUUUUUUGGUAAAAGGUUAUAAAGGGUUUUUGCUUAAAAUUUCUGAGUCAUCAUUUUGGCAAAAUAAGUAAUUUAGGGCAAUCUGGAAUUCCAAAAUCAAACUUCAGUUUCAAAAUUGUCUUUUCUAAUGCCUGGCUUUUUGGAUGGAUCAGAUGGCCCCUGAAAACAUCCAGAAAAGAGGUAAAAAAAGCUUUCAAUUGUUUGGAUCUUCUGAGAACAUCAGAAGAUCUUGCCAUCUGCACUACAACAAAACUUUGGGACCUUGAACUUUGGGUACAUAAUCUCACAACUGAGAAAGUUCCCUCCACACUCUUGGAAUUGUACACUCAUUGGAGCCCUUAAGGUAAAACUAACCAGGGAAAUUUCUCCCAAAAUGAAGAUGGCAUCCUUGAUGUGAAUAUCUUUUCCCAAGUUAACAGAUUAACACUUCUACUGUCAUGAAAUUCUUAUCUUUUAUUAUUUUUUCUUGCUUAUGCCUCUCUGAACAAUAGAAAUGGAAAAGGGAUCUGUUAUGUGCACUUAUGGGGUGUACUUUUGUUUAAGGAAUUUGCAGCCAGCCUUAUAAGUGGAUAAACUUAUACUUUGUUAGAUAAAGGACAAAGGCCCAAUGUACUUAAGAAACUUUAAUGGUACAUAUGUUGCCUAAUAAUCAUUCAAAAACAAACAAACAAACAAACAAACAAUGAUUCACUCCUCUUAAUCCACAUCAUGGGUUAAAGAGAACAUUGCCAGGAGGCCUUCACUCUUUUAGAAGGGCAUCAUUUGUUAAGUGCUUUUUCCAUGGUUUAGAGUAGAGAAGCAAUGAAUAGAAAUGUACCCCCAUUAUAUGCUCUAUAGCAAAUUUUACUGUAAGGCCUACAGUUAAACAACAGACUUUAAAUUCUUUUGUGAAAGUUAUAAUAGAGUUGGAUGAACAGAAAAGUAUCUAUGCUGCAGCUGGCACUUAUGACCUACGGAAAAAUACAUUAAAUGAAGAUUAUGGAAAUUCAGUGAAGGAGAUGAGACUGCUAAGUUAAAGACCAUCUAGCUUCAGAUGAUCAUGCAACAAAGGCUCCAGCCAAUUCCAGGUAAAGACACCACCCCUGGCCAUCAAGGAGAUACCCUGCCUCCACUAGAGAGAGCAGAGUGAGAGUUCUGUGAUCCUCAAUAGGUAGAAACUACACCCCAAGCCAGCAUGAAGCAGCUACAGAAGAAAGACCAGCUGUCCCUCUGCCUCCCAUAAAGAUUUAUGAAGAUCACAUCUCUCAGUGGGGAAAUGAGUCAAGAAAAUAAUGUCUGGAGGCAGGGAACAUAAGGCCAAUUAACACUUCAGCUAUGACAGGAAAUAUCCUUUCCAUAGGGUGUACACUAAGUGACUUCGUAACCUUACUUUGUCCUCUUCAUUUACAUAGGGCAUACAGCAAGUAACCAAUGGAAACUGCUAGAGUGUAUUUAAACUCCCACAAAUUCUGUAAUGGGGCCCUAUGCUCAUGCCCAUUACCACACUGUGAAGUGUACUUUCAUUUCGAAUAAAUAUCUCCUUUUGCUACUUUAUUCUUUCCUUGCAUUUUUUUCUGCAUUUUGUCCAAUUCUUUGUUCAAGAAGCCAAGAACCUGGACACCCUCUUUCGGUAACACAAUCAACUCCUAAGUACCAACCUCCUAAUAUCAUCAUCUUGGAGGUUAAAAUGUGGUAUAUACAUUUUGUGAGAAUGUAAAGAUUUCUUUAUCCAGUCUGGUGUUGACAGGCAUUUAAUUUGAUUCCAUGACUAUGCUAUUGUGAACAGUGUUACAAUGAACAUAUGCAUGCACGUGUCUUUAUGAUAGAAUGAUUUAUAUUCUUUGA